AUUGAACGCUGGCGGCAUGCCUUACACAUGCAAGUCGAACGGCAGCACGGGGGCAAUCCUGGUGGCGAGUGGCGAACGGGUGAGUAAUGUAUCGGAACGUGCCCAGUCGUGGGGGAUAACGCAGCGAAAGCUGUGCUAAUACCGCAUACGAUCUAUGGAUGAAAGCGGGGGAUCGCAAGACCUCGCGCGAUUGGAGUGGCCGAUAUCAGAUUAGCUAGUUGGUGGGGUAAAAGCUUACCAAGGCGACGAUCUGUAGCUGGUCUGAGAGGACGACCAGCCACACUGGAACUGAGACACGGUCCAGACUCCUACGGGAGGCAGCAGUGGGGAAUUUUGGACAAUGGGCGCAAGCCUGAUCCAGCAAUGCCGCGUGCAGGAUGAAGGCCUUCGGGUUGUAAACUGCUUUUGUACGGAGCGAAAAGGCUCUCUCUAAUACAGGGGGCUCAUGACGGUACCGUAAGAAUAAGCACCGGCUAACUACGUGCCAGCCGCCGCCGUAACAC
rnacentral:rRNA from 1 species